GCGGCGGGCGGGCGCGCGCUCAGCGGGCAGCCUCGGCGGCGGUAGGCGGGCAGGUCAAAGAGAGUGAUGGGACGGAAGCGGCGUGCGCAUGCGCGGGAGGGGGAAAGAUGCCGGCUGAGGGACCACCUCCGUCUGAGGGAGGGGCUCCGGACAGAUUCAAGAAAAGGGAGAAGACACAUAAGGAAAGAAAAAUAACUCAAGAGACUUUAAACAGAUCCUUUUAGACACAAACGGCGGAGAUCGAUCAUGUUCUUGGAUGUUGACAAAGGUCACAAAAUCAAACCAAACAAAUACAAACUUAUUUCCAUUUAUUGUUUACAGCUACGUAAAUUUUGCUAUAUUUUUGUAAUUUUGUCAAUCCUUUGUUGUUGUAAGUUGCCUUGAGUGUGGUUUAACUAAGGAAUGGUGACAUACAAGUACCAUAAAUGUCGAUGGUGUGUUGUGUUGCUGGCUCCCAGAGGGCACAUUAGAUUUGUAGACUACUUGAACACUUUUGCGAUUAAAUUAAAAGCAAUUUGAAGCCUG